GAGUUUGAUCCAUGGCUCAGGAUGAACGCUAGCGGCAGGCUUAACUCAUGCAAGUCGAGGGGUAUAGUUCUUCGGAACUAGAGACCGGCGCACGGGUGCGUAACGCGUAUGCAAUCUACCUUUUGCAGAGGGAUAGCCCAGAGAAAUUUGGAUUAAUACCUCAUAGUAUGUGAGAAUGGCAUCAUUUUCACAUUAAAGUCACAACGGCAAAAGAUGAGCAUGCGUCCCAUUAGCUAGUUGGUAAGGUAACGGCUUACCAAGGCAACGAUGGGUAGGGGUCCUGAGAGGGAGAUCCCCCACACUGGUACUGAGACACGGACCAGACUCCUACGGGAGGCAGCAGUGAGGAAUAUUGGACAAUGGGCGCAAGCCUGAUCCAGCCAUGCCGCGUGCAGGAUGACGGUCCUAUGGAUUGUAAACUGCUUUUGUACAGGAAGAAACACUCCCUUGUGAGGGAGC
rnacentral:rRNA from 1 species